rnacentral:rRNA from 1 species
GUCGGAGUCGCUAGUAAUCGCAGAUCAGCAACGCUGCGGUGAAUACGUUCCCGGGCCUUGUACACACCGCCCGUCACGUCAUGAAAGUCGGUAACACCCGAAGCCGGUGGCCUAACCCCUUGUGGGAGGGAGCUGUCGAAGGUGGGAUCGGCGAUUGGGACGAAGUCGUAACAAGGUAGCCGUACCGGAAGGUGCGGCUGGAUCACCUCCUUUCUAAGGAG